AAGAAACCAACCGGGAUUGCCCUAGUAACGGCGAGUGAAGCGGCAACAGCUCAAAUUUGAAAUCUGGCUCUUUUAGAGUCCGAGUUGUAAUUUGCAGAGGGCGCUUUGGCUUUGGCAGCGGUCCAAGUUCCUUGGAACAGGACGUCACAGAGGGUGAGAAUCCCGUACGUGGUCGCUGGCUAUUGCCGUGUAAAGCCCCUUCGACGAGUCGAGUUGUUUGGGAAUGCAGCUCUAAAUGGGAGGUACAUUUCUUCUAAAGCUAAAUAUUGGCCAGAGACCGAUAGCGCACAAGUAGAGUGAUCGAAAGAUGAAAAGCACUUUGGAAAGAGAGUCAAACAGCACGUGAAAUUGUUGAAAGGGAAGCGCUUGCAGCCAGACUUGCUUGCAGUUGCUCAUCCGGGCUUUUGCCCGGUGCACUCUUCUGCAGGCAGGCCAGCAUCAGUUUGGGCGGUAGGAUAAAGGUCUCUGUCACGUACCUCUCUUCGGGGAGGCCUUAUAGGGGAGACGACAUACUACCAGCCUGGACUGAGGUCCGCGCAUCUGCUAGGAUGCUGGCGUAAUGGCUGUAAGCGGCCCGUCUUGAAACACGGACCAAGGAGUCUAACAUCUAUGCGAGUGUUUGGGUGUCAAGCCCGAGCGCGUAAUGAAAGUGAACGGAGGUAGGAACCCGCAAGGGUGCACUAUCGACCGAUCCUGAUGUCUUCGGAAGGAUUUGAGUAAGAGCAUGGCUGUUGGGACCCGAAAGAUGGUGAACUAUGCUUGAAUAGGGUGAAGCCAGAGGAAACUCUGGUGGAGGCUCGCAGCGGUUCUGACGUGCAAAUCGAUCGUCAAAUUUGGGCAUAGGGGCGAAAGACUAAUCGAA
rnacentral:rRNA from 1 species